AUGACCGCCAUGGUUCGUUUCGUCUUCGUCGUGUUAUUUACAGCCACUGUUUUCCAACAUGUGGUGUCCAUGUCAGUGCCAGAAAUAUAUGAAAAUUACCCGUGUGCUGGAGGUCUGCAAAGUCUAACGUCUGAGCAUGCAAGACUGGCCGAGGACUGUGAACAGAUUUGGAGUAUUGGGAGCAGCCCCAUAGGAAGAAUCUGGAACGGAAGUGCUGAGUGCCACAGACCAUGCAGUCAGGUGACUGUGGGUGAAAUUGUUGUCAGCAAGUGCGUCAAUAUCACACUGACCAUUUUAUGUGUGGAGGAUUAUAUGACUGAAUAUCGGAUUCAUUUUAAAGGUAAGAUAUUAAAUGGAUAUAUACAUACAUGCAUAAAUAUGCACAUACUUACAUAUUCAUUCUUCAUAAUGUGGUACAGCCAAGCCAGUUUUAAUUGGUUAUUCUCUUUGUGAUACUUCGUUGUAGGCAUCAACCCUUCGCCACAAAUUCAGCCCAAGAACAGAGCACGCUAUGGUAAUAUUGAACUGUCAAAUACAGUGCUAUUUAAAAACUUCAUAAGUUGCUUAUAUCCUGCUGAAAAAUCAAAAUUCAGAAAAGUGGCUGGAUUUCAUUCGUUUAGUAGGCAAAACGAAUUUGAGAAAGACAGGACAAAUAAUCAAAUCUGAACAUUUUUAUUUUUGUUGAGAAAGCAUAAAAUUUUUUAAGGGUUUGGGUUUCAUAUAUUUACACAUAGAGGGCUGACAUAUCUGAUGUUGUGUAAUCAUCAGGUUUCUAUGCAAGUGUUGCUGUCCUUGGUACCCUGCUUUCAGUGGCUUUGGUGGGACUGUUCCACUGCUACAGAUCUCACCACCAUGGCUCCAGAAACACCGAAGUGAUUCAACUUUAAUUAUACAAUGUUAGCCUACACACUAUGUUAAUAUGCAUAAAAAAUACCUUUAUUUAUUUAUUUAUAUAUAUAUAUGUAUAUGUAUGUAUAUGUAUAUAUAUGUAUAAUAUAUAUAAGUAUAUAUAUAUAUUAGGGGUGGCAACUGGUGUAAAAGUAGAGGAGGCAGUGGAUAGGGCAAGGUGGAGGCAGAGCGGUUGGUUUUGUGGUACGUUAAAUCUGAACGAGAGAAAGUGGAACGGGAAAAUUCGAACGAGAAGCAACUUCAGCCUCGUAAAACAGCCGAACAACAAGAGACAUUUUACAAGAAGCUGCUCUACUUCUGAGAGGGAAAGGGGAGGAAAGCGGCUAUAGGUAAAGCUUAAAUCAGAGCAAAGUAAAUCCGUGUUUUCGUUUAUAUUUUUUAGCCUAUAGUAGCACAUUCGAACACACUCAGACAUACUGGGCAUUAAAUGUCUCCCGGUGUGGCUUGAUUUUUGUUUAAAGGACAAAACAUUUAGGCUGUGACUCCUGACUGAACCUGGCUUUAAUGCAGAGCCAGUCAGAUUUCUCACUCAUCCAGCUGUGUUCUUGUUAUGUGCCGUCACAGACUGUCCAGGUGCUGCACUUAUCCACUUCCAACUUCUGCCUUUUACAUUCCGUCAACACUACGGUAUAAAUUAAAUAUUUAGAAAAUCGGUUUUUGACAUUUAUGAAUCGAUUCAGAAUCGUUCACAUCCGCUUUGCGAUGCAUCGAAGAAUCGAGUUUUUCUUGCAUCCUUUUAUAUAUGUGUAUAUAUAUAUAUAGUCCAUUUUAUGAGCUCCACUUACUAUAUAGGUGCACUUUGUAGUUCUACAGUUACAGACUGUAGUCCAUCUGUCUGUCUGCACACUUUACUAGCUCCUUUUCACGCUGUUCUUCAGUGGUAAGGACCCCCAGAUGACCACCACAAAGCAAGUAUUAUUUGGGUGGUGGAUCACUCUCAGCACUGCAAUGACACAGACAUGGCGGUGGUGUGUUAGUGCAGCAGUGCUGCUGGAGUUUUUAAACAACUCAAUUUAUAGUCCACCAGCCAAAAAUAUCCAGCAAACAGUGCCCUGUGGGCAGUGUCCUGUGACCACUGAUGAAGGACUAGAAGAUGAGCAACAGAAACUGUGCAGCAGCAGAUGUGCUAUCGUCUCUGACUUUACAUCUACAAGGUGGACUGACAAGGUAGGUGUGUGUAAUAGAGUGGACAGUGAGUGGACAUUUUGUGUAUGUUUGAUUUUAUAGAAAAACUAAAUAAUACAUUUGAAGCUGUGGAAGCAUCAUAUAAUAUAAUAUAUAAAAGUAUAGUAUAAAUUUAAAAUAAAAGAUUCAAUAUAAAUAAAAUUAAAUGAAAUAUAGAAAUACUUAUGGAUGCU
ensembl:lncRNA